AUUGAACGCUGGCGGCAUGCCUUACACAUGCAAGUCGAACGGUAACGGGCCUUCGGGUGCCGACGAGUGGCGAACGGGUGAGUAAUGUAUCGGAACGUACCUUUCAGUGGGGGAUAACGUAGCGAAAGGUACGCUAAUACCGCAUAUUCGGUGAGCAGGAACGCAGGGGUUCGCAAGAACUUGCGCUGAUUGAGCGGCCGAUAUCAGAUUCGCUAGUUGGUGAGGUAAAGGCGCACCAAGGCGACGAUCUGUAGCGGGUCUGAGAGGAUGAUCCGCCACACUGGAACUGAGACACGGUCCGGACUCCUACGGGAGGCAGCAGUGGGGAAUUUUGGACAAUGGGGGCGACCCUGAUCCAGCCAUGCCGCGUGAGUGAAGAAGGCCUUCGGGUUGUAAAGCUCUUUCGGCCGGGAAGAAAUCGUAUCAGCUAUUACCUGGUGCGGAUGACGGUACCGGCAUAAGAAGCACCGGCUAACUACGUGCCAGCAGCCGCAGUAAAAC
rnacentral:rRNA from 1 species